AUCAGUCAUAUUUAAUGCCUGCUGGGAA
rnacentral:piRNA from 1 species